GAGCCUCGGUGGUCCGAGGUGCAGGCUUCAAACCUGUAGCUGCUUAGCGGCAGAGUGGUUCAAUUAGGGAGGCG